rnacentral:rRNA from 1 species
GAGUGACCUGCCUUUUAGACUGGAACAACUUACCGAAAGGUGAGCUAAUGCCGGAUGAGUUAUAUAAGUGCAUGUUUAUAUAGGAAAAGUUGGGGAGACCUGACGCUGAAAGAUGGACUCGCGUCCCAUUAGCUAGUUGGUAGGGUAAUGGCCUACCAAGGCGACGAUGGGUAGCCGGCCUGAGAGGGUGGCCGGCCACACUGGGACUGAGACACGGCCCAGACUCCUACGGGAGGCAGCAGUGGGGAAUUUUGCGCAAUGCUCGUAAGAGUGACGCAGCGACGCCGCGUGAAUGACGAAGGCCUUCGGGUCGUAAAGUUCUUUCGACAGGGAAGAAAAUGCCUAUAAGUAACUGUGUAUGUAUUGACGGUACCUGUAUAAGCAGCCCCGGCUAACUCCGUGCCAGCAGCCGCGGUAAUACGGAGGGGGCGAGCGUUGUUCGGGGUGACUGGGCGUAAAGAGCACGUAGGCGGUGUUGUAAGUCAUUAGUCAAAGACUAGAGCUCAACUUUAGUAAGGCUAGUGAUACUAUAAUA